rnacentral:rRNA from 1 species
UAAGCAUAUCAAUAAGCGGAGGAAAAGAAACUAACAAGGAUUCCCCUAGUAGCGGCGAGCGAAGCGGGAAGAGCUCAAAUUUAUAAUCUGGCACCUUCGGUGUCCGAGUUGUAAUCUCUAGAAGUGUUUUCCGCGUUGGACCGCACACAAGUCUGUUGGAAUACAGCGGCAUAGUGGUGAAACCCCCGUAUAUGGUGCGGACGCCCAGCGCUUUGUGAUACACUUUCAAUGAGUCGAGUUGUUUGGGAAUGCAGCUCAAAUUGGGUGGUAAAUUCCAUCUAAAGCUAAAUAUUGGCGAGAGACCGAUAGCGAACAAGUACCGUGAGGGAAAGAUGAAAAGCACUUUGGAAAGAGAGUUAACAGUACGUGAAAUUGUUGGAAGGGAAACGCUUGAAGUCAGACUUGCUUGCCGGAGCUUGCUUCGGUUUGCAGGCCAGCAUCAGUUUUCCGGGGUGGAUAAUGACGGUUUGAAGGUAGCAGUCUCGGCUGUGUUAUAGCUUUCCGUUGGAUACGCCCUGGGGGACUGAGGAACGCAGCGUGCUUUUUGCGAAAGACUCGUCUUUUUCACGCUUAGGAUGCUGGUGGAAUGGCUUUAAACGACCCGUCUUGAAACACGGACCAAGGAGUCUAACAUGCUCGCGAGUAUUUGGGUGUCAAACCCGGAUGCGCAAUGAAAGUGAAUGUAGGUGGGAACCGCAAGGUGCACCAUCGACCGAUCUGGAUUUUUUAAGAUGGAUUUGAGUAAGAGCGCGUAUGUUGGGACCCGAAAGAUGGUGAACUAUGCCUGAAUAGGGCGAAGCCAGAGGAAACUCUGGUGGAGGCUCGUAGCGGUUCUGACGUGCAAAUCGAUCGUCAAAUUUGGGUAUA